rnacentral:rRNA from 2 species
UGUCAAGUCCGAAGGUAACGCGGGGCAACCUGGCGACGAGUGGCGAACGGGUGAGUAACGCAUCGGAACGUGCCCAGUAGUGGGGGAUAGCCCGGCGAAAGCCGGAUUAAUACCGCAUACGAUCUAAGGGUGAAAGCGGGGGAUCGCAAGACCUUGCGCUAUUGGAGCGGCCGAUGUCAGAUUAGGUARUUGGUGGGGUAAAGGCCUACCAAGCCUGCGAUCUGUAGCUGGUCUGAGAGGGCGACCAGCCACACUGGGACUGAGACACGGCCCAGACUCCUACGGGAGGCAGCAGUGGGGAAUUUUGGACAAUGGGGGAAACCCUGAUCCAGCCAUGCCGCGUGCGGGAAGAAGGCCUUCGGGUUGUAAACCGCUUUUGUCAGGGAAGAAAAGGCGCAGUCUAAUACGUUGCGACAAUGACGGUACCUGAAGAAUAAGCACCGGCUAACUACGUGCCAGCAGCCGCGGUAAUACGUAGGGUGCAAGCGUUAAUCGGAAUUACUGGGCGUAAAGCGUGCGCAGGCGGUUAUGCAAGACAGAUGUGAAAUCCCCGAGCUCAACUUGGGAACGGCAUUUGUGACUGCAUGGCUUGAGUGCGGCAGAGGGGGGAUGGAAUUCCGCGUGUAGCAGUGAAAUGCGUAGAUAUGCGGAGGAACACCGAUGGYGAGGCAAUCCCCUGGGCCUGCACUGACGCUCAUGCACGAAAGCGUGGGGAGCAAACAGGAUUAGAUACCCUGSUAGUCCACGCCCUAAACGAUGUCACCUGGUUGUUGGAAGGGSUUUUCCUUUCARUAACGAAGCUAACGCGUGCAAGUUGAACCGCCUGGGGGAGUACGGGCCGCA